AACGAACGCUGGCGGCAGGCCUAAAACAUGCAAGUCGAACGCCCCGCAAGGGGAGUGGCGCACGGGUGAGUAACGCGUGGGAAAGUGCCCCUUAGUACGGGACAACGUCGGGAAACUGGCGCUAAUACCGUAUAAUAUCUCCGGAUUAAAGAUUUAUCGCUGAGGGAGCGGCCCGCGUCGGAUUAGCUAGUUGGUGAGGUCAAGGCUCACUAAGGCUACGAUCAGGAGCAGGUCUGAGAGGAUGAUCUACCACACUGGGACUGAGAACCGGCCCAUACUCCUACGGGAGGCAUCAGUUAGGAAUAUUGGACAAUGGGGGAAACCCUGAUCCAGCCAUGCCGCGUGUGUGAUGAAGGCCCUAGGGUUGUAAAGCACUUUCGUUGGGGAUGAUAAUGACCGUACCCAAAGAAGAAGCCACGGCUAAAUUCGUGCCAGCCGCCGCCGUAA
rnacentral:rRNA from 1 species